rnacentral:lncRNA from 1 species
AUGGCCCUGAGCAGUACCUGCCCCCGGCUCACCUGUGGUCGCCGGCUGGGCAACCGGCGUCCUCAUGGUUGCUGUCCCCUGGCUCCUCCCCAUCCUCGGGGGGCCCCGGCUCCUCCGGCCCCCUGCCAGGGUCGUGGCCCCCGUCUGAGUGCUGCCUGCACACAGGGCCAUCAGGGACCCCGGCAGCUGGGUGCCCCUGGCCCCCCCCCCCCCAGGGACCCCAGAUGCCCCCACUUCAUCCCCAUGGUACCUGCUGCUGUGGCGGUGUGCGGCCACGUGGGGGAGGGGUGCAGGCUCCUCCCCCUCCAUGGGGGUGGGGCUGGCAGCCGAGGGGGGCUCCCCCCGGAGCGGGGGGCUGGGGGCAGAGUCGUACAGGGUCUCAGGGGCCUGCAGAGAAAAGGAGUGGGGCUUAUUGCUGGGUGGGGGGUGAGGUGGGCGGAGCCUCCAGAAGCUGGUUUGUGCAGUGGGGUGGGGCCUGGUGGUGGGCGGGGCUCACCGCAUAGGUCAGCUGCUCGUCGCCGGGCUCGGGGGGACCGUCGCCCUCCAGGUCGCAGCUCAACGCCCGGCGCAUCUCAGGGCCCAGCGCCUGCAGGGUCUGCAGCCCAGCCUGGGGGUGGGAGGGCGGUUACUGCGGCAACUACCCCCCUCCUCCCGGGGGGGUCCCAGGGUGGGGGCCCUGCCCACCUGGAGGGCGCGCUCGUUGCGGGGGCCGGCACUGGGGCCCAGCAUCCCCCGCUCCUUACGCCGCCGGAACUUGCGGAAAUAGUCCUGGAUCAGGAAGGUGGCAUAGAACUUCCCCACGGUGAUCUCCUCCUCUGGGGGGCGACAGGGUUAGGGGUGCUGGUGGCCCCGCGGGGGCACCGGGCUGGUGGGGGGCACUCACCCUCCGGUGCUGGGAUGAUCUCGUCCAGAAGUUUGGGUUUCGUCCUCUUCCAGAUUUUCUUGACCACGGCACGGAGCUCCUUGUUGGCCACGUCCAGGUUCCCUGAGGGCGAGCGGGUCCCUCAGGGAACCCAGGCGUCCAGGCCCCCCCAGCUCUAG